AAGCACAAGCAGAGAAUACCUUCAAGGUAUCAGAUCCUGUCUCAUCUUGGAAGCCAAGCAAGGUCAGCUCUGGUUAGUACUUGGAUGAGUGUUUGCCAAAGAACAACAAGUUCUGUAGUUU
rnacentral:rRNA from 11 species